UACGUAGGGUGCAAGCGUUGUCCGGAAUUAUUGGGCGUAAAGAGCGUGUAGGCGGCCUGGUAAGUCCGCUGUGAAAGUCCAGGGCUCAACCCUGGAAUGCCGGUGGAAACUGUCAGGCUCGAGUCCGGAAGAGGCGAGUGGAAUUCCUGGUGUAGCGGUGAAAUGCGCAGAUAUCAGGAGGAACACCGGUGGCGAAGGCAGUGUCCUGGGAAGCAUCUGACGCUCAGGUGCGAAAGCUAGGGGAGCGAACAGG
rnacentral:rRNA from 1 species